rnacentral:rRNA from 1 species
CCUACGGGAGGCAGCAGUGGGGGAUAUUGCACAAUGGGGGAAACCCUGAUGCAGCAACGCCGCGUGAGUGAAGAAGUAUUUCGGUAUGUAAAGCUCUAUCAGCAGGGAAGAGAAUGACGGUACCUGACUAAGAAGCACCGGCUAACUCCGUGCCAGCAGCCGCGGUAAUACGGAGGAUGCGAGUGUUCUCCGGAUUUAUUGGGUUGAAAGGGUGCGCAGGCGGAAUGUCCAGUCAGCGGUAAAAUUUCGGGGCUCAACCCCGUCUUGCCGUUGAAUCUGGCGUUCUUGAGUGAGCGAGAAGUAUGCGGAAUGCGUGGUGUAGCGGUGAAAUGCAUAGAUAUCACGCAGAACUCCGAUGGCGAAGGCAGCAUACCGGCGCUCAACUGACGCUCAUGCACGAAAGCGUGGGUAUCGAACAGGAUUAGAUACCCUAGUAGUC